rnacentral:rRNA from 1 species
GUGAGGAAUAUUGGACAAUGGGCGCAAGCCUGAUCCAGCCAUGCCGCGUGCAGGAAGACGCAUCUAUGGUGUGUAAACUGCUUUUGUACGGGAAGAAACACUCCCUCGUGAGGGAGCUUGACGGUACCGUAAGAAUAAGGAUCGGCUAACUCCGUGCCAGCAGCCGCGGUAAUACGGAGGAUCCAAGCGUUAUCCGGAAUCAUUGGGUUUAAAGGGUCCGUAGGCGGUUUAAUAAGUCAGUGGUGAAAGCCCAUCGCUCAACGAUGGAACGGCCAUUGAUACUGUUAGACUUGAAUUACAAGGAAGUAACUAGAAGAUGUAGUGUAGCGGUGAAAUGCUUAGAUAUUACAUGGAAUACCAAUUGCGAAGGCAGGUUACUACUUGUGGAUUGACGCUGAUGUACGAAAGCGUGGGUAUCAAACAGGAUUAGAAACCCUAGUAGUCC